rnacentral:rRNA from 1 species
UACGUAGGGGGCAAGCGUUGUCCGGAUUUAUUGGGCGUAAAGAGCGUGUAGGCGGCCAGGGAGGUCCGUUGUGAAAACUCGAGGCUCAACCUCGAGACGUCGGUUGAAACCGUAUGGCUAGAGUCCGGAAGAGGAGAGUGGAAUUCCCGGUGUAGCGGUGAAAUGCGCAGAUAUCGGGAAGAACACCCGUGGCGAAGGCGGUC